rnacentral:lncRNA from 1 species
AUCCAUGCGUAAGGAACUUAAGAGAAGGCGGCAAAGAGUAUUGUGCCACGCCAUAUGUGCUAGACAAGCAACGGGGAUGCGGACAAGAGCUUGGUUUCAUCUCACGGAGGUAUCUGCGGAAAACCUUGGACCUCUUCAAUUUUUCCCUGUCAAACUCAUGCUACAGAGUUUCAAGCUCACGUUCAGCCGCUAGGCAAGAAGA